rnacentral:rRNA from 1 species
GAUGAACGCUGGCGGCGUGCCUAAUACAUGCAAGUCGAGCGAACAGACGAUGAUCUUGCUCCUCUGACGUUUGCGGCGGACGGGUGAGUAACACGUGGAUAACCUACCUAUAUGACUGAGAUAACUUCGGGAAACCGGCGCUAAUACCGUAUAAUAUAUUGAAGCGCGUGGUGCAUUGGUAAAUUACGGCUUUUGGGUCUCUUAUAGAUGGAUCCGCGCUGCAUUGGAUGGUUGGUAAGGUAACGGCUUACCAAGGCAACGAUGCGUAGCCGAGCGGAGAGGGUGGUAGCCGACCCUGGAAGUGAGCCACGGACAAGAGUCCUAAGGGAGGCCGCAGUAGGCAAUGGUCCGCAACAGGCGAAAGCCUGACGGAGCAACGCCGAGUGAGAGAUGACAGUGUUCGGAUCGUAAAAACCUGUUAUUAGUGAAGAACCACUGUGUCCGUAAACAUGGACGUCUUGACGGUAACUAAUCAGAAAGCAACGGCUAACUACGUG